rnacentral:rRNA from 1 species
GACGAACGCUGGCGGCGUGCCUAAUACAUGCAAGUAGAACGCACAGUUUAUACCGUAGCUUGCUACACCAUAGACUGUGAGUUGCGAACGGGUGAGUAACGCGUAGCUAACCUGCCUGGUAGCGGGGGAUAACUAUUGGAAACGAUAGCUAAUACCGCAUAAUAUUGAUUAUUGCAUGAUAAUUGAUUGAAAGAUGCUAUUGCAUCACUACCAGAUGGACCUGCGUUGUAUUAGCUAGUAGGUGAGGUAACGGCUCACCUAGGCGACGAUACAUAGCCGACCUGAGAGGGUGAUCGGCCACACUGGGACUGAGACACGGCCCAGACUCCUACGGGAGGCAGCAGUAGGGAAUCUUCGGCAAGGGACGAAAGUCUGACCGAGCAACGCCGCGUGAGUGAAGAAGGUUUUCGGAUCGUAAAGCUCUGUUGUAAGAGAAGAACGGGUGUGAGAGUGGAAAGUUCACACUGUGACGGUAUCUUACCAGAAAGGGACGGCUAACUACGUG